GAUGAACGCUGGCGGCGUGCCUAAUACAUGCAAGUCGAGCGAACGGACGAGAAGCUUGCUUCUCUGAUGUUAGCGGCGGACGGGUGAGUAACACGUGGAUAACCUACCUAUAAGACUGGGAUAACUUCGGGAAACCGGAGCUAAUACCGGAUAAUAUUUUGAACCGCAUGGUUCAAAAGUGAAAGACGGCCUUGCUGUCACUUAUAGAUGGAUCCGCGCUGCAUUAGCUAGUUGGUAAGGUAACGGCUUACCAAGGCAACUAUGCAUAGCCGACCUGAGAGGGUGAUCGGCCACACUGGAACUGAGACACGGUCCAGACUCCUACGGGAGGCAGCAGUAGGGAAUCUUCCGCAAUGGGCGAAAGCCUGACGGAGCAACGCCGCGUGAGUGAUGAAGGUCUUCGGAUCGUAAAACUCUGUUAUUAGGGAAGAACAUAUGUGUAAGUAACUGUGCACAUCUUGACGGUACCUAAUCAGAAAGCCACGGCUAACUACGUG
rnacentral:rRNA from 1 species